UACAGAGGUCUCAAGCGUUGUUCGGAUUCAUUGGGCGUAAAGGGUGCGUAGGCGGCGCGGUAAGUCGGGUGUGAAAUCUCGGAGCUUAACUCCGAAACUGCAUUCGAUACUGCCGUGCUUGAGGACUGGAGAGGAGACUGGAAUUUACGGUGUAGCGGUGAAAUGCGUAGAUAUCGUAAGGAAGACCAGUGGCGAAGGCGGGUCUCUGGACAGUUCCUGACGCUGAGGCACGAAGGCCAGGGGACCAAACGGG
rnacentral:rRNA from 1 species